rnacentral:tRNA from 1 species
CAAAUUGAAGCUUAAAAGGAAGUUUUUUAUUUACAUUAAAAAGAUCUCUGUGCAAUUCAGUGCAGUUUGA